CUUUCUGCUUCCGGACCGUGAACACAAUGUGACCAGCUGCUUCAUCUCACCUUCCCUCUGUGAUGGACAGAUCCCUCAAACCAUGAGCCAGAGCCAACCCUUUCUCUCUUACGGCGCUUCCUAGAUUAGAGGAAUAAACAGGGACUGUUAUGAUGUGAGAGCCGAUACUGCUGGAUCAAGAGUGAUGAAGUUGGACAUAAAUCCCUGAUGAUUUACCAUGGAUCCCAUCCUUCUGCCUGCUGGCCGGAUGCAUCAUCGUAUUAAUGAUUUAGCAAAUUACCUGAAUGGGAAGCCAGCCAGGUUUCAAUGAGAGGAGAGACUAGAAGAUUGAAGAGAGGCCGAGACAGAUGAGUAUCUUCAAGUUCUUGGCUGACUUACAUGACAAGGAAAAUUGCAGAGAAAUAAGGGAGCAGCCUUAUGCUCAGUGUAACAAAUCCAGGGGGGGAGACACAUGUCAAGGAGGGGCUGGACUGUAGACUCAUCACCUGCCGGCUCUGUGUCCUUGGACUGAACUCUUCUGUGCCUUGUUUCCACAGCUGUAAAUGAGUGAUUAGGAAGGAAAGUCAUUUGGAUGCUCUGGGAAGAUGAAAUGAGUUAAUAUUUAGAGAGUAGAUACACUAACCUACUUUCUAACAAGCCCGGUACAUGCCA